rnacentral:rRNA from 1 species
AGUGAACGCUGGCGGUAGGCCUAACACAUGCAAGUCGAACGGCAGCACCGGAGAUCUUGCUGCUUGGGUGGCGAGGGGCGGACGGGUGAGGCAUAAACCGGAAUCUGCCCAGUCGGGGGGGAUAGCGUAGGGAAACUUAUGCUAGUACCGACGACGACCUACGGGAGAAUGAGGGGGUUCGAAAGACCUCUCGCAGUUGGAUGAGCCCGUGUCGGCAUAGCUUGUGGGCGGGGUAGUGGCCCACCAAGGCGGCGAACUGCAGCUGGUGUGAGAGGAUGAUCGGCCACACUGGAACUGGGCCACCGACCAGACUCCUACGGGAGGCCGCAGUGGGGAAUAUUGGACAAUGGGCGCAAGCCUGAUACAGCCAUACCGCGUGUGUUACGAAGGCGUUCGGGUUGUAAAGCCCUUUUGUUGGGAAAGAAAUCUUUCAGGCUAAGACGCUGGGAGGAUGACGGUACCCAAAGAAUAAGCACCGGCUAACUUCGUG